GAUUAACGCUAGCGGUAUGCCUAAUACAUGCAAGUCGAACGCACAGCGAAAGGUGCUUGCACCUUUCAAGUGAGUGGCGAACGGGUGAGUAACACGUGGACAACCUGCCUCAAGGCUGGGGAUAACAUUUGGAAACAGAUGCUAAUACCGAAUAAAACUCAGUGUCGCAUGACACAAAGUUAAAAGGCGCUUUGGCGUCACCUAGAGAUGGAUCCGCGGUGCAUUAGUUAGUUGGUGGGGUAAAGGCCUACCAAGACAAUGAUGCAUAGCCGAGUUGAGAGACUGAUCGGCCACAUUGGGACUGAGACACGGCCCAAACUCCUACGGGAGGCUGCAGUAGGGAAUCUUCCACAAUGGGCGAAAGCCUGAUGGAGCAACGCCGCGUGUGUGAUGAAGGCUUUCGGGUCGUAAAGCACUGUUGUAUGGGAAGAACAGCUAGAAUAGGGAAUGAUUUUAGUUUGACGGUACCAUACCAGAAAGGGACGGCUAAAUACGUGCCAGCAGCCGCCGUAA
rnacentral:rRNA from 1 species